rnacentral:lncRNA from 1 species
AUGCAAGUAAAGCAAGAAACAGCCCCCUCCCCUUUUCCUUGCUGCACCCAGCCUCAUUCACUCCCUCGGAAGGGCCCUUCCUGCAAUAUCGCACCAGGCGCGCGUCUUUCUCCUAAUCCGAAGCAGAGCCGAGGCCCUGGCGAGCGGACAGGGCCUAGGGGCCACCAAUCGCGCCCGCGCCGCCCCCCCCCCCCGGCGGGACGCUGCAAGAGCAUCUUUCCUUGCCCUCCGGGCCGGCAGCCAGCGGUCCCCGGGCGCAAGCGAUGCGGAACCUGUAGCUCUCCAGCCGGUCCAAACUUCCCCCAGCAGCAGCUGCUGCUGCUGCCCCUACCCUGCCGGGGGCAGGGGUGGUGGUGCCCCCCCCCGCAGCCCCCGUCCCCCCGCCCAUUCUUCCUCCACCCUCUCCAUCCAGGGGGAGUGCGAACCCCUCCGGCCGCCUGGGGCCCGACCUGGCGGCCUGGUCCUUCUUGCAGGGCCGCCCGCCGCUCCCAGCCAGGCCGAGCGCCAGGCCGGCCAGCCGCCCACCCCACGUGGAGCGGCGAGGGGCGCCCUCUCCUCUCCUCCCCUCCCCUCCUUCCCUGCCCGCCCGCCCCGCCGUCGCUUACCGGCCCGAGCCGGGGCUGCCUCGCCGCGCCUCGGCCUCCUCGCCUCUCUGGUCCCCGCCCGCCGCCCCCNCCCUCCCUCGACAGAGCAGGCGGGGAAGCGAAGCGAAGCGAGGAGCGAAGCGCGCCGCUUGCGCCUCUUUCGCUGCAUCAGGUGACANACGCAAAGGGGCCACCGCAGCGCCGCCGAUGCGCGCCGGCAGGGCGGAGCCGCGCCGCGCCGUGCGGGGAGGGGGGGACGACGGGGGACGGGAGGCCGNCUCUUGGACCAAUGCAAGGAAGGCGCGGUGACCAUACAGAAAAGGGGAGAGGGCGCCUGCACGCGUAUUUGUUCUCCUUCUUUCUAUCCCGGAGGGCGCAGGGCGGGUCACACCUUUCCCUAAAACUGCCCAAGACAUUAGGGCCUUUUUGCAUGGUUGAACCUUCUGAU